UCCAGACUCCUACGGGAGGCAGCAGUGGGGAAUAUUGCACAAUGGGGGAAACCCUGAUGCAGCAACGCCGCGUGAGUGAGGAAGUAUUUCGGUAUGUAAAGCUCUCUCAGCAGGGAAUAGAAAAGAAGGUACCUGAAAAAGAAGCCCCGGCUAACUACGUGCCAGCAGCCGCGGUAAUACGUAGGGGGCAAGCGUUAUCCGGAUUUACUGGGUGUAAAGGGAGCGUAGACGGCAUGGCAAGUCAGAUGUGAAAGCCCGGGGCUCAACCCCGGGACUGCAUUUGAAACUGUCAGGCUGGAGUGCAGGAGAGGUAAGUGGAAUUCCUAGUGUAGCGGUGAAAUGCGUAGAUAUUAGGAGGAACACCAGUGGCGAAGGCGGCUUACUGGACUGUAACUGACGUUGAGGCUCGAAAGCGUGGGGAGCAAACAGGAUUAGAUACCCUAGUAUU
rnacentral:rRNA from 1 species